UGAGUAACCUGCCCUUAACUCUGGGAUAAGCCUGGGAAACUGGGUCUAAUACCGGAUAUGACUCCUCAUCGCAUGGUGGGGGGUGGAAAGCUUUAUUGUGGUUUUGGAUGGACUCGCGGCCUAUCAGCUAGUUGGUUGGGGUAAUGGCCCACCAAGGCAACGACGAGUAGCCGGCCUGAGAGGGUGACCGGCCACACUGGGACUGAGACACGGCCCAGACUCCUACGGGAGGCAG
rnacentral:rRNA from 1 species